ACUCGAGCGGCGAACGGGUGAGUAACACGUGAGCAACCUGCCCCUGACUCUGGGAUAAGCCCGGGAAACUGGGUCUAAUACCGGAUAUAACCACUGGUCUCAUGAUCGGGUGGUGGAAAGUUUUUCGGUUGGGGAUGGGCUCGCGGCCUAUCAGCUUGUUGGUGGGGUGAUGGCCUACCAAGGCGACGACGGGUAACCGGCCUGAGAGGGCGACCGGUCACACUGGGACUGAGACACGGCCCAGACUCCUACGGGAGGCAGCAGUGGGGAAUAUUGCGCAAUGGGCGGAAGCCUGACGCAGCGACGCCGCGUGAGGGAUGACGGCCUUCGGGUUGUAAACCUCUUUCAGCAGGGACGAAGCUAACGUGACGGUACCUGCAGAAGAAGCGCCGGCUAACUACGUGCCAGCAGCCGCGGUAAUACGUAGGGCGCAAGCGUUGUCCGGAAUUAUUGGGCGUAAAGAGCUCGUAGGCGGUUUGUCGCGUCUGUCGUGAAAGCCCACGGCUUAACCGUGGGUCUGCGGUGGAUACGGGCAGACUAGAGGCAGGUAGGGGAGAAUGGAAUUCCCGGUGUAGCGGUGAAAUGCGCAGAUAUCGGGAGGAACACCGGUGGCGAAGGCGGUUCUCUGGGCCUGUACUGACGCUGAGGAGCGAAAGCGUGGGGAGCGAACAGGAUUAGAUACCCUGGUAGUCCACGCCGUAAACGUUGGGCGCUAGGUGUGGGGUCCUUCCACGGAUUCCGCGCCGCAGCUAACGCAUUAAGCGCUCCG
rnacentral:rRNA from 1 species